AACGCUAGCUACAGGCUUAACACAUGCAAGUCGAGGGGCAGCAUUAUCGAAGCUUGCUUUGAUAGAUGGCGACCGGCGCACGGGUGAGUAACGCGUAUCCAACCUUCCCCAUGGUCAGGAAUAGCCCGGCGAAAGUCGAAUUAAUGCCUGAUGUUUUCCACGGACGGCAUCUGAUGUGGAACAAAGAUUCAUCGCAAUGGGAUGGGGAUGCGUCUGAUUAGCUUGUUGGCGGGGUAACGGCCCACCAAGGCAACGAUCAGUAGGGGUUCUGAGAGGAAGGUCCCCCACAUUGGAACUGAGACACGGUCCAAACUCCUACGGGAGGCAGCAGUGAGGAAUAUUGGUCAAUGGGCGGAAGCCUGAACCAGCCAAGUAGCGUGAGGGAUGACUGCCCUAUGGGUUGUAAACCUCUUUUAUAAGGGAAUAAAAUACGGGACGUGUCCUGUUUUGCAUGUACCUUAUGAAUAAGGACCGGCUAAUUCCGUGCCAGCAGCCGCGGUAAUACGGAAGGUCCGGGCGUUAUCCGGAUUUAUUGGGUUUAAAGGGAGCGCAGGCGGUCUUAUAAGCGUGACGUGAAAUGCAGCGGCUCAACCGUAUGAUGUGCGUCGCGAACUGUGAGACUUGAGUGUAUUCGAUGUCAGCGGAAUUUGUGGUGUAGCGGUGAAAUGCUUAGAUAUCACGAAGAACUCCGAUUG
rnacentral:rRNA from 1 species